rnacentral:rRNA from 1 species
UACAGAGGUCCCGAGCGUUGUUCGGAUUCAUUGGGCGUAAAGGGUGCGUAGGCGGCUUCCUAAGUUUGAUGUGAAAUCCUGGGGCUCAACCCUGGAACUGCAUUGAAUACUGGGAGGCUAGAGUACUGGAGAGGAAACUGGAAUUUACGGUGUAGCAGUGAAAUGCGUAGAGAUCGUAAGGAAGACCAGUGGCGAAGGCGAGUUUCUGGACAGUUACUGACGCUGAGGCACGAAGGCCAGGGGAGCAAACGGG